UUUGAAAAUGACUGGGAUCCAUGUUGAUUCAGUCAGCUAGGAAGGAUCAUCAGUUUCCCCAAUGAAUGGGUACUCACGGGAUGCACCACGAGAAGGUCAAUCCAAUGCAUCCUUAAAAUCGGUUAUAACCUUUGCUGAAAACCACCUGCAUUACAAUAACUUUGAGGAUAAUUAUACCAAAGGUUCAACUUAUUAGUCAAGGUAUUAUGAAUAUCAGUACCUUGUGAGCACAACACCUGCACACCUGGCUUUUUUUUUUCCCCCAGAGGGUCUGGUGUUACAUAUUCUUGGACUUAAAAAAUGGGAAUGUUAUUAUGUUACUUAACUUCAAAGAUAACUUUCUUUGCUGUUAUUUUAUACUUGUGUUAAUCUGAAAAGGACCAAUGUUUUCCAUUCCUUUUAUUCCAGAUACAACAGGGAAACUAUCAGGGCAAGGCAGAGAGUGAGAGACACAGUGGCAUUGCUCCACCAUCCGUGGAACUCUCUGAAGGCUGGGGUGCCCCCAGGGGGUGCUAGGACUCGAACCCAGAGCGUGAAGCACCGUAAAGUAUGUUCUCUUUUGGGUGAGCUAGCUCCUGCCCCUCCCUGUUGUGGAACAGAGAUACACGAAGCCAAUCCAGAAAUGACAUCACCCCUGAAUGUCACAGAGACUUAGGAAUUUUAUUUCUUCUGAGGAAACGUAAUUCAAAGUAUGGUGGAUAGUUUCUGGAAUUAUCCAGCUCUGUCAUUGGUUUACUCAUCUAGAAAGAGUAAAGCAAUUGUGCCACCUAGAACUUGGGUCACAGUGCUGAAAGAUUGUUUUGCCAUUGCAGGUUAAAGAAAAAAAUCUUAAAGGAGGCUGGAUGGUUUCCAUUUUAUAAAUAAAAAAUAAUAUUUUAAAAAAACAUAGUACUAUGAACAAGGAUCCAGGUUCAAACCCUGGCUCCCCACCUUCAGUGGGGAUGCUUCCUGAGUGGUGAAGCAAGUCUGCAGGUGUCUAUCUUUCUCUCUCCCUCUCAAUUUCUCUUCCUCUUUCCUCUCAAUUUCUCUCUUUUAUCGAAAAAAAAAAAGGUGCGGGGGCAGGAUGGCCACCAGGAGCUGUGGAUUCAUGGCACUGGCAUUGAAACCCAGGGACAAUCUUGGAGAAAGAAAAAAAAAAACAGGAAUAAGAAGCAUUGGUUUCAGUGCAAAGAAAACAUCUGGAUUCCAGAUUAAAUUGUGGACUCACAGAUGCUGCCGACCCCCUGAUGCUGAACAAUAAUCAGCCUAUUACACAGACUCCGAACACUUCUGAAUUGGGGGGUUUUCUGGCAGGUAAAGCCUGCUUGUGCUCUGUGUGCCCACGGCAUACACUCUAGAGCUUCACCUCAGGGAGUCAUCAAAACAGACCUUUGCAAAGAUGGACAAGCCAGGAUGAACAAGUGUUUGGAUUUCAUAGGGGAUCUCUGUGUGCAUGACACAGGGCGUCUUGCCGUGGCUGGGUUUUCUCCUGCUUUACAGGCAAUUAGGUGUUGAGUCAGUGAGCAGAUGUGCCAGGUGCCAUGGAUCUAAUUCUUAUACCCUUUCUCCCUCCCUCCUUUACCCCUUUGCCCCGUCUCCAGAGAUUAAGGAAUGUUAAACCAGGAGUCUAUAAUGCAGACGUCAGAGAAAGAAAGGAGUUGCUGAACAGUCUCAGCUCAACAUUUUAGAAAGGCUAGGCCCUAGGGAUCAGGCAGUGGAGCACCUGGUUGAGUGCAUACAUUGCCAUCAUGCACAAGGACCAGGGUUCAAGCCCCCAGUCUCCACCUGCAGGGAGGUAGGCUUUAUGAGAUGUGAAGCAAUGCUGCAGCUCACCUUUUCUAUCUCUUUCUCUCUAUCUCUCUGUCUCUCCUUCUCUCUCUCAAUUUCUCAUUGUCCUAUGAAAUAAAAAGAAAGGGGGAAAAAAAGAAAAUUACACUGGAACAUGAUGGCAGAGGAGGACCUAGUGGGGGUUGAACUGUUAUGUGGAAACUGGGAAAUGUUAUUCAUGAAUAAACUAUUGUGCUUUACUGUCAACCGUAAGCCCUUAAUCCCCCAAUAUAGAAAUUAAAAAAAAAGAAAUUUAUGUAAAAAAGAAUAUUUUUUUAAAAAAAAGGAAGAAGGAAGGAAAGAAGGAAAAAGAGAAAGAAAGAAGAAAAGAAAAAGAACAGACCUGAGUGGCUCAUUCACAUGAAAAGAUUCCUUCCCCAGUACCACAAUGCCAGGCUGCAGGAUUCUGCCAGAGGCUGUGUGACUAGACCCCCUUCUCCUCUCCUUCUCCCCAUGGCCCCAGGCCCUCAAUAACCUGUGAACCCAGCCUGAGAGGCAGGAAGACAGGUUUUCGAGACGUGGCUCAGCCAUAUUUUCAGGUUGCUAGUACCUGAUCCAUCUCCAUUUUUUUUUUUUUGCCUCCAGGGUUACUGCUGGGGCUCAGUGCCUGCUCCAUGAAUCCACUGUUCCUGGAGGCUAUCCCCCACUUUUUGUUGCCCUUGUUGUUAUUAUUUUUUUUUACCAUUGCUGUGGUUAUUUUUUUAUUAUUGUUUUUAUUAAUGUCGUUGUUGUUGGAUAGGACAGAGAGAAAUGGAGAGAGGAGGGGAAGACAGAGAGGGAAAGAGAAAGACAGACACCUGCAUACCUGCUUCACCACCUGCAAAGCGACUCCCCUACAGGUGGGAAGCCGGGGGCUCAAACCGGGAUCCCUAUGGCAGUCCUUGCGCUUUGCGCCACAUGCGCUUAACCCGCUGCGCACUUAAGCAAUAGAAGUCAGGGAGCUCUCCCAACAUAGGAGACAUUUACAUGAUGUUAGCAUUUUAAAAUAACAAAAUGAACACUCUCCUCUGUCAGUGCAUGUGGUGUUUUCUAACAUCCUGGUUAGAAAAUAAAUGUAUAUUUUGAUCUCAUCUUGUUCCAACAUUUUGAUCUGUUAUCUGUUGAGACAGAAAACCAUCCUAGGUGUGAGGAAAUUCAAAUUAAGAGAUAAAAACAUGUUCUAGCAUCUUUGCUACAAAGUGGAUGCUCCUUCCUGUCCUUUCAUAAAAAAUUUUUUUUUAAUUAUUCUAUUUGUUUUCCUAUGACUGACAAGAAACUUUUGCCAAUCCACCCACUCAGUUCCCCUUGUUAAUCCACAAAUACAUGCUGGGGUAAUAUUUAUCAGAGAAUCAUUUUCACUGUGAUAGGAUUCAUAGUGGAAGAAGCAAAUAUUGCUUCAUUUGCAAAUAUAUAUAUAUAUAUAUAUGUUCAAAACAGGACAGGUGUUAUCUUAAUGUUUCAGUCCCACCACUUCCCCAGAAUGCUCUCCUGGAAAGAGUUUCUGUCUGAGGACCCACUGACAGUAGGGUGGGGGUGUGGUAGAGUAUUUUGCUGAAAACUAAGAAAUGUACCAUUAAGGUGUUAAGGUCAGAAAUGACAGGAAGUUACCUGGGGGAACACAGAUACUGCUGCACCAGGCCAGAACCCAUGUUCUCAGGCACACCUGUAUGUGUGCCUGGGGGAAGGAAAUUGCUGCCCAGGGAGUGGAACAGGUGAGUGUGUCUUAGCUAGGAGAUGAAGGCGGGGCUGGGAUGUUUAUAAGCUCCAUCUGUCCCCUGGCUUGGGCUCUCUUUCUAAGUGAGCCUUCCCACAUGUGGGUCAAGGGCUCCUCUCUUUCUUUCUCCCUUCCCCCUCUCUCUUGGCCUAACAUGCAAAUAUUCUCAAUUUUCCAGAAUAAAGUUUAAAAUUCCUGAAAAUCAUGCUUUCUCCUCAAUUCUUUGUUGGGGCUACGUGUGACAAAUCUUUUAAGCAUGUGGGAACUUACCUGUAGUUUUCCCCAGUAAAAUAUCAACAACUCUAUUUACUGUAAACCAUUAACCCCCCAAUACAUUGUUUUAGAGUUGUAAAAGAACAAUUGAACUGCUUAUCUAAGACACCAAUAUGCUAAGGAAUCUCACAUCACUAUGUGAUAAGUACGUGGCUUCUAGCAUGUGUGUGUCAACUUGGUGGGCCCACAUUGGGCUGGCACCCAUUGGGUCUGAUCAAAUAAACUGCCUCCCCUCCUAUCUUU